AACGAACGCUGGCGGCAUGCCUAACACAUGCAAGUCGAACGAGACCUUCGGGUCUAGUGGCGCACGGGUGCGUAACGCGUGGGAACCUGCCCUUAGGUUCGGAAUAACCCCCCGAAAGGGGUGCUAAUACCGGAUAAUGUCUUCGGACCAAAGAUUUAUCGCCUUUGGAUGGGCCCGCGUUGGAUUAGCUAGUUGGUAGGGUAAAAGCCUACCAAGGCGACGAUCCAUAGCUGGUCUGAGAGGAUGAUCAGCCACACUGGGACUGAGACACGGCCCAGACUCCUACGGGAGGCAGCAGUGGGGGAGAUUGGACAAUCAGCGAAAGCCUGAUCCCGCAAUGCCGCGUUAGUGAUGAAGGCCUUAGGGUUGUAAAGCUCUUUUACCCGGGAUGAUAAUGACAGUACCGGGAGAAUAAGCUCCGGCUAACUCCGUG
rnacentral:rRNA from 1 species